UCCCAAAAUGUUCCUGAAAUGGGGUUACUUCUGUCCCAAUUGAGACAGACGUUUCAAAUUCCAAAUAAGAGGUAGUAGGGUACAACAGCACAGAAGGUACUUUAAGGAAGCUUGAGUCCUCAGAUGCAGAAGAAUUUUUUUCCAAACUGGAAUCAGAAUCCAGAAAAGGCUGAUAGGAAAUACCAACAAUGUUGACAUUCCCAGUUUCAAUGGGCACAGGAGAACCCUCAUUCAUUAAAUCAGGAAUAUCCAACUUGCUCAGCAUCCCAACUCCAGAAACAAAGAAUCCCUAUAAGUUUACUAAAGACAAUGACAAUUUCUCCAUGUUGGUCAGGCUGGUCUCAAACUCUCGACCUCAGGUGAUCUGCCUGCCUCGGCCUCCCGAAGUGCUGAGAUUAGAGAGCUGUAAGAGAGGUGUGUGCCUAGAUCAUACGUUUACUAUGAGGAAUUAACUGAAAGCACCUACAUGAAGACACCUGGAAACUAUAAAGAACUUCCUGGAAACUAUAAAGAACUGUAUAAUUAUAAGGUAGUGCUUAUAUCUGACUAUAAUAUUUUUGAUGGCUUCUUCAAAUAAUAAAUUCUCCAGCAGAGGUAAAAGUAAAAUCAAUAAAACAGAACCUUACUAGUU